GUUUGAAUAGUUUAACAGGUAAAACACUAAUCUCAUGCGUUAGUUAUGAGAGUUCAAGUCUCUCUUCAGACU
rnacentral:tRNA from 1 species